rnacentral:misc_RNA from 1 species
GAUGAAGAACGUAGCGAAAUGCGAUACUUGGUGUGAAUUGCAGAAUCCCGUGAACCAUCGAGUCUUUGAACGCAAGUUGCGCCCGAAGCCAUUAGGCCGAGGGCACGCCUGCCUGGGCGUCACACGUCGUUGCCCCCCCAUCUACUCCUUCGGGAUUGCGAGGGGCGGAUGAUGGCCUCCCGUGCGCCUCGUCGCGCGGUUGGCAUAAAUGCCAAGUCCUCGGCGACGCACGCCACGACAAUCGGUGGUUGCGAAACCUCGGUUGCCCGUCGUGUGCGGUCGUCGCGCAUCGAGGGCUCGAAAAAAUUGCCGGGCUCCGGCUCGGCUUUCAACGCGACCCCAGGUCAGGCGGGGUUACGCGCUGAAUUUAAGCAUAUCAAUAAGCGGAGGA